GCCUCUGUGGCGCAAUUGGCUAGCGCGUUCGGCUGUUAUCUGGAAGGCUGGUGGUUCGAUCCCACCUAGGGGCG
rnacentral:tRNA from 1 species